UGCUCAUUCGUUCUGCCACGCCCACUG
rnacentral:piRNA from 1 species